UGGCUCAUUAAAUCAGUUAUCGUUUAUUUGAUAGUACCUUACUACUUGGAUACCUGUGGUAAUUCUAGAGCUAAUACAUGCUAAAAACCCCGACUUCGGGAGGGGUGUAUUUAUUAGAUAAAAAACCAACGCCCCUCGGGGCUCCUUGGUGAUUCAUAAUAACUUCUCAGAUCGCAUGGCCUUGCGCCGGCGACGGUUCAUUCAAAUUUCUGCCCUAUCAACUUUCGAUGGUAAGGUAGUGGCUUACCAUGGUUUCAACGGGUAACGGGGAAUUAGGGUUCGAUUCCGGAGAGGGAGCCGGAGGAACGGCUACCACAUCCAAGGAAGGCAGCAGGCGCGCAAAUUACCCAAUUCCGAUACGGAGAGGUAGUGACAAUAAAUACUGAUACAGGGCUCUUUUGGGUCUUGUAAUUGGAAUGAGUACAAUUUAAACCUCUUAACGAGGAACAAUUGGAGGGCAAGUCUGGUGCCAGCAGCCGCGGUAAUUCCAGCUCCAAUAGCGUAUAUUAAAGUUGUUGCAGUUAAAAAGCUCGUAGUUGAACCUUUGGCCUGGCUGGCAGGUCCGCCUCACCGCGUGCACUUGUCCGGCCGGGCCUUUUCUUCUGGGCAACCGCAUGCCCUUCACUGGGUGUGUUGGGGACCAGGACUUUUACUUUGAAAAAAUUAGAGUGUUCAAAGCAGGCCUUUGCUCGAAUACGUUAGCAUGGAAUAAUAGAAUAGGACGUGCGGUCCUAUUUUGUUGGUUUCUAGGACCGCCGUAAUGAUUAAUAGGGACAGUCGGGGGCAUCAGUAUUCAAUUGUCAGAGGUGAAAUUCUUGGAUUUAUUGAAGACUAACUACUGCGAAAGCAUUUGCCAAGGAUGUUUUCAUUAAUCAGUGAACGAAAGUUAGGGGAUCGAAGACGAUCAGAUACCGUCGUAGUCUUAACCAUAAACUAUGCCGACUAGGGAUCGGGCGGUGUUUCUAUUGUGACCCGCUCGGCACCUUACGAGAAAUCAAAGUGUUUGGGU
rnacentral:rRNA from 1 species